rnacentral:rRNA from 1 species
UGGGGAAUCUUCCGCAAUGGGCGCAAGCCUGACGGAGCAACGCCGCGUGAAUGAAGAAGGUCUUCGGAUCGUAAAGUUCUGUUCUUAGGGAAGAAGUCUUUUCUUGUGAAUAAUGGGAGAAGGUGACGGUACCUAUGGAGAAAGCUCCGGCUAACUACGUGCCAGCAGCCGCGGUAAUACGUAGGGAGCGAGCGUUGUCCGGAAUUACUGGGCGUAAAGGGCGCGUAGGCGGGAACUUAAGUUAGAUGUGAAAACUCCGGGCUCAACCUGGAGACUGCAUUUAAAACUGGGUUUCUUGAGGGC